rnacentral:hammerhead_ribozyme from 1 species
GCGCCACUGACGAGUCCCAAACAGGACGAAACAGUUCUGUCCAGUGC